UUGAACCCAGAGUCUGUAAUCGUGUCAGUCAUUUAGGUGUGCAUUAGGUGUUACAUUUUUAUGUUCAGCAUGUUUGUAAUUAGCGUAGAAUCCUGGGUGUGUGGCGAUUGCACACGCACUCGCCAGGACCGCGUCUUCAGGGCCAUCUCCGCCAUGGCUGGCACGCCGUGCAUGUCGCACGGGCACCGAAAAUGACGGCGCACCGUGCAGCGCCCAACCGUGGCGGAGGGAGGCGAUCCAGGCCUACAAGGCCGAGUUGAAUGCACAAACAAAGCUGCGCGUUCGCAGUAAACUGAAACGGUGCUCUCUCUCUCGUGUAUCGCUCGCUCGCCGCCGUAGUAGUUUUAGUUGACGCGGUCACCACUCGCCGGUGUUCCGCCUCGCCGGGCUCCUCGCCGGAGCUGCGGUCCCAACAUUCUGGUACCAGAGCGUGGUUUAUGCAAUACGACGGCAGCGUAAGCCCACCGAGAGAGCCACCGCACAAGAAGUUCGUCGUUCUCAAGAAAUCGCCACCACCGAUCGCCAUGGGCGACCAAGGAAGCUCCUCCGGCGGCGUCAAGGAAAGUUCCUUGAUGUGGCCCAUGCUGACGCGUGACAACUACACCGAGUGGGAGAUGCUGAUGCAAUGCAACUACGAGGCGUUGGAGAUCUGGGGGGUGAUCGACCCAGGUACCAACCCCAAACGGUCGCAGGAUCGUCAAGCCAUGAGCGCACUCCUGCGUUCUGUUCCCAAGGAGAUCUGGCAAACGCUCGGCCGGCAGAAGACCGUCAAGGAGGCGUGGGAGGCGGUGAGGACAAUGCGAGUCGGUGCCGAUCGGGUGAAGGAGGUGAACGCCCAGAAGCUGUUGCAGGAAUUCGAGAACAUCGCCUUCAAGGAGGGCGAGUCGAUCGACGACUUCGGUAUGCGGAUCACCAACCUCGUCGGCAACCUCAAGACGCUGGGCGAGACGAUCGAAGACGUGCGCGUGGUGAAGAAGUUUCUCCGUGUGGUGCCCGCGAGAUUCGCUCAAGUGGUAGUCUCAAUUGAGAUGUUUUGUGAUUUGAAGAAUCUCACCAUUGAGGAUCUCAUCGGACGACUGCGCGCGGCGGAGGAGCGCCUGGACGACAAGACCGACAAGGUCACCGACAAGAUGGGGCGCCUUCUGCUCGCUGAGGAGGACUGGAUCGAGAAGAACAAGCAUCGCUUCCUCACGGGGUCUAAGCCCGGAGGGGGCGGCGCGGGUGGCAGUACCUCUAAGAACAAGGCGGCGCGCGCGAUCUGAUGGCGGCGCCUCGAAGCCGGUCAAGUUGACCUCCGAGGGCACGCCACGUCGCAAAGGUCGGUGCCGGAACUGUGGCAUCUAUGGCCACUGGGACCAAGACUGCAAGCGCCCGAGAAAAGACAAGAAAAAGGAGCAGGCUCCGCCGGAGGCCAACGUCGCUGUCGGCGGCGGUGAUCAGGUGGGUGCACUAAUGUUGGCCAUGUGCGACGUCGUGCACAGGUCAUCACAGUGUGUUCACCUGAUGGAGGAGAAGGUUGUACCGGUGGACGUCCCUACUGGUGUCUGGGUGCUCGACACUGGGGCGAGCAACCACAUGACAGGAUCGCUGUCAGCACUGUCACAGCUUGACAGCAGCGUUCAAGGGACAGUCAAGUUUGGAGAUGGCUCCACCAUCAGAAUCAAAGGUAUGGGUUCAGUAAUUAUGCAAGAUCGAAAUCAGAAUCACAAAGUUCUUACUGAAGUAUACUACAUACCUGAAUUGAAAAGCAACAUUGUUAGCUUGGGCCAGUUGGAAGAAAAAGGGUUCAGAUAUGUGGGAGAAAAUGGGAAACUAUGUGUUUAUGAUCAGGAUCGUACCUUGUUAAUCUCUGCACCUAGAAUUGAAAAUAGACUGUAUCUGGCUAAGUUCAGUUUGACACCUCCAGUUUGUCUGCUUGCACAGUCUGAAAAUUUGUCUUGGCUUUGGCAUGCCCGUUUUGGACACCUGAACUUUAGAUCAUUAAACAUGUUGGGUGCUAAGUCAAUGGUUGUUGGGAUGCCAUGUGUCAAGGAGGUGGAGAAGGUAUGUGAUGGAUGUGUCCUAGGUAAACAGCAUAGAAAGCCAUUCCCACAAGUGUCAAACUUCAGAGCAGGAAAAGGGCUAGAAUUAGUUCAUGCAAACCUAUGUGGGAAAAUAACACCAGAGAGCAUUGGGGGAGCCUCCUAUUUUCUGUUGGUGGUGGAUGACCACAGCAGAUAUAUGUGGAUUGAAAUGCUUAAGUCCAAGGACCAAGCCUUUGAGUGUUUCAAGAAGAUCAUGCUAAGAGCUGAGAGUGAGUCUGGUGAAAAAUUAAAAGCCCUGAGAACAGACAGAGGUGGUGAAUUCACCUCAAACAUGUUCUCAGUUUUCUGCAACAAUGGUGGAAUCAAGCAUUACACCACAGCCCCAUAUACACCACAGCAAAAUGGUGUUGUGGAAAGGAGAAAUCAAUCAGUGGUGGAAAUGGCAAGGUGUCUGUUGAAAGCCAUGAGGGUUCCAUCAGUGUUUUGGGGUGAAGCUGUCAGAACAGCUGUAUAUUUGCUAAAUAGGUGUCCUACUAAGGCCCUAAGUGGAAAAACACCUUUUGAAGUUUGGCAUGGAAAGAAACCAGUAGUGAGUCACUUGAAAGUAUUUGGUUGUGUUGCAAAUGUAAAGAAAGUUGGACCUGGUGUAAAUAAGCUAUCUGAUAGAUCUAGCAAGAUGGUCAUGAUAGGCUAUGAAUCAGGUACUAAAGGGUACAGAUUAUUUGAUCCUUCCUCCAACAGGUUGGUGGUGAGCAGGGAUGUCUUAUUUGAAGAAAAUGUACCCUGGGACUGGAAUAAUCCACAAUGCAGCACAGAUCAGCAAGUGACAGAUUCAUUUGUUGUUCACUACGAGUUGUCUGACCAAAAUCUGACAACAGGCCAAAAUGCAGAAAAUGCUGGUACUCCAGUUACAGCUCAAGGGGGUGAGGCACCAGCAGAUCAAGGGAGUAACGUGAGCCACAAUCACUCACCUAACUCCCCAAAUGCUCCAGGAUCCAAUGCAGCACCAACUAUGCAGUAUGCAACUCCACCAAGCCAACAUUCAGAAGAUGUUUUUCCACUUAGGGCCUUAGUAGGACACCUAUUUAGCAAAUAUACAGCUGUUCUGACAGCUUCACCCCAAAACACUGAUGGAACCCUCAUGGCUUUCAACAGACACCUUGCCAUUUCCACCACUGAUUGAUUUCUCCUUUCCACAACACCAUUUUGCUGACACCUAUGGUGGACCACUCAGAUUCAGAAGACUCGAUGAUAUUUUCGACAAUACAGAAGAGUUGGAGGAAUAUGAGUAUAGUGGAGUAUGCUUACUGGCAGCAGAUGAGCCAGUCAGUGUGGAUGAAGCAUUGGAAGAAAAAUGCUGGGUUGAAGCAAUGAACAGUGAAUUGAGGUCCAUAGAAGAAAACAACACUUGGUGCUAUACUAAUCUGCCAAAGGGUCACAGAGCCAUAGGUUUGAAAUGGGUUUACAAGGUGAAAAGGGAUCCAGAGGGUAAUAUAGUCAAGCACAAAGCUAGACUUGUUGCAAAAGGCUAUGCUCAAAAAUAUGGAGUGGAUUAUGAGGAGGUUUUUGCUCCUGUAGCUAGGCUUGAAACUGUCAGACUCAUGUUGGCACUUGCUGCAAGUGGAAGAUGGGAGGUGCAUCACAUGGAUGUGAAGUCUGCUUUUCUUAAUGGUGAGCUACAGGAAGAGGUAUAUGUACAACAGCCUCCUGGUUUUCAGAAUUCCAAGCAGCCUGGAAAAGUUUUGAAACUGUCAAAGGCACUUUAUGGCCUGAAACAAGCACCCAGGGCUUGGAAUGCCAAGCUGGAUCAAGAACUUGUCAAGCUGGGGUUUUGCAGAAGCAGUGAAGAACAUGCAGUCUACAAAAGAGGAAGUGGGAUUAACUUGCUGCUUCUAGGAGUGUAUGUUGAUGAUCUAGUCAUCUGUGGGCCUGACCAGAAUAGAAUUCAUGAAUUCAAGCAACAAAUGAGCAAGACUUUCAGCAUGAGUGACUUGGGACUGCUGAGCUAUUAUCUGGGAAUGGAGGUGAGGCAGAAGCCUGGUGAAAUAACCAUUUGUCAAAGAGCAUAUGCAGCAAAAAUAGUAGAGCAGUGUGGAAUGACUGGUUGCAAUCCUGUGGAUACUCCCAUGGAGCAAAAUUGCAAGUUAAUACCUGGGAGGCCUGAACUAGCCAGAGAUGUGACAAAGUUCAGAAGCAUUGUGGGAAGUUUGAGGUACUUAGUGAACACUAGACCUGACAUUGCCUACUCUGUUGCAAUGGUCAGUAGGUUCAUGGAGUCACCUACCUCUGAACAUUGGGCAGCUCUGAAAAGGAUUGUCAGGUAUGUUGCAGGGACUACUCAGUAUGGCUGCAAGUAUACUUGCAAAUCACUGUUGAACCUGAAACUGCUGGGGUACUCAGACAGUGACCAUGCUGGUGAUUUAGAGAAGAGGAAGAGCACAUCAGGUGUAGUAUUUUUCUUGAAUGGAAAUGUGAUAACCUGGACCUCACAGAAACAAAGGCCAGUGACAUUGUCGAGUUGUGAGGCAGAGUAUGUUGCUGCAGCUGCAGCAGCCUGUCAGGGUGUUUGGCUGGUCAGACUCAUUGCAGAUCUCACUGGUCAGAAUCUUCAGAAGUUCAAGCUUCUCAUGGACAGCAAAUCUGCGAUUGAGCUGAGCAAGAAUCCAGUGUAUCAUGAAAGGAGCAAACACAUUGACACACGCUACCACUUCAUCAGAGAGUGUGUCGCUGAUGGGAUUGCAGAGGUGGACCAUGUUGGCACCGACAGACAGCUUGCAGAUAUCUUAACGAAGCCUUUGGGAAGGAUCAAAUUCGUUGAAAUGCGUCAGCAGCUGGGAGUUGGGAACAUGUGUCACGAUUAAGGGGGUGAAAUGUUGAACCCAGAGUCUGUAAUCGUGUCAGUCAUUUAGGUGUGCAUUAGGUGUUACAUUUUUAUGUUCAGCAUGUUUGUAAUUAGCGUAGAAUCCUGGGUGUGUGGCGAUUGCACACGCACUCGCCAGGACCGCGUCUUCAGGGCCAUCUCCGCCAUGGCUGGCACGCCGUGCAUGUCGCACGGGCACCGAAAAUGACGGCGCACCGUGCAGCGCCCAACCGUGGCGGAGGGAGGCGAUCCAGGCCUACAAGGCCGAGUUGAAUGCACAAACAAAGCUGCGCGUUCGCAGUAAACUGAAACGGUG
rnacentral:lncRNA from 1 species